rnacentral:rRNA from 1 species
AACGAACGCUGGCGGCAGGCUUAACACAUGCAAGUCGAGCGCCCCGCAAGGGGAGCGGCAGACGAGUGAGUAACGCGUGGGAAUCUACCCAUCUCUACGGAAUAACGCAUGGAAACGUGUGCUAAUACCGUAUACGUCCUUCGGGAGAAAGAUUUAUCGGAGAUGGAUGAGCCCGCGUUAGAUUAGCUAGUUGGUGGGGUAAAGGCCUACCAAGGCGACGAUCCAUAGCUGGUCUGAGAGGAUGAUCAGCCACACUGGGACUGAGACACGGCCCAGACUCCUACGGGAGGCAGCAGUGGGGAAUAUUGGACAAUGGGCGCAAGCCUGAUCCAGCCAUGCCGCGUGAGUGAUGAAGGCCCUAGGGUUGUAAAGCUCUUUCACCGGUGAAGAUAAUGACGGUAACCGGAGAAGAAGCCCCGGCUAACUUCGUGCCAGCCGCCGCGGUAAGAC